CCGGCCCAGCACACAUCCUCUAUUGUCCAUCUAUCGACUGCAUUCUAUGGGGUUCAGUAAACCAUGCCAACUAAAUGAGUGUCAGACUCAAAAGAGGGGCCAACUUAACAGCAACAGUUUCCACAGGCGAAAUGAGGUUUGAGCAGCAAGAACUUGUUGGAUCAGCAAACUGCAUCCUCAGAGGUCGAAGUGUCCCUGAAGAAGAGAAUGGUGAAAAGUAUGGAGCUGAACCUGAAGUUGGAACAUGCUCAAGUGUCUCCUAUGAAGGGUGAACUCAAUACGACAGGCAAGCAAUAAUAAAACAUGGUGAUAUG